rnacentral:rRNA from 1 species
CUACGGGCCGCUGCAGUGGGGAAUAUUGCACAAUGGAGGAAACUCUGAUGCAGCAACGCCGCGUGGAGGAUGACACUUUUCGGAGCGUAAACUCCUUUUAUAUAGGAAGAUAAUGACGGUACUAUAUGAAUAAGCACCGGCUAACUCCGUGCCAGCAGCCGCGGUAAUACGGAGGGUGCAAGCGUUACUCGGAAUCACUGGGCGUAAAGAGCGUGUAGGCGGGUUAAUAAGUCAGAAGUGAAAUCCUAUGGCUCAACCAUAGAACUGCUUUUGAAACUGUUAACCUAGAGUGUGGGAGAGGUAGAUGGAAUUUCUGGUGUAGGGGUAAAAUCCGUAGAGAUCAGAAGGAAUACCGAUUGCGAAGGCGAUCUACUGGAACAUAACUGACGCUGAGACGCGAAAGCGUGGGGAGCAAACAGGAUUAGAUACCCCCGUAGUC